rnacentral:rRNA from 1 species
GCACCGGCUAACUCCGUGCCAGCAGCCGCGGUAAUACGGAGGGUGCGAGCGUUAAUCGGAAUUACUGGGCGUAAAGGGCACGUAGGCGGUUUCUUAAGUCAGAUGUGAAAUCCCCGAGCUUCACUUGGGAACGGCAUUUGAAACUGAGAGUCUAGAGUUUUGUAGAGGAGGGUAGAAUUCCAGGUGUAGCGGUGAAAUGCGUAGAUAUCUGGAGGAAUACCAGUGGCGAAGGCGGCCCCCUGGACAGAGACUGACGCUGAGGUGCGAAAGCGUGGGGUAGCAAACAGGAUUAGAUACCCUGGUAGUCCACGCUGUAAACGAUGUCGAUUUGUAGGUUGUGGUUAUAAACUGUGGCUUGCGGAGCAAACGCGUUAAAUCGACCGCCUGGGAAGUACGGCCGCAAGGUUAAAACUCAAAUGAAUUGACGGGGGCCCGCACAAGCGGUGGAGCAUGUGGUUUAAUUCGAUGCAACGCGAAGAACCUUACCUACUCUUGACAUCCAGAGGAGUCGACAGAAAUGUUGACGUGCCCUUCGGGGAGCUUUGAGACAGGUGCUGCAUGGCUGUCGUCAGCUCGUGUUGUGAAAUGUUGGGUUAAGUCCCGCAACGAGCGCAACCCUUAUCUUUUGUUGCCAGCACGUAGAGGUGGGAACUCAAAAGAGACUGCCGGUGAUAAACCGGAGGAAGGUAGGGAUGACGUCAAGUCAUCAUGGCCCUUACGAGUAGGGCUACACACGUGCUACAAUGGCGUAUACAAAAAGAAGCGAGCCUGCGAGGGUGAGCGGACCUCAUAAAGUACGUCGUAGUCCGGAUUGGAGUCUGCAACUCGACUCCAUAAAGUCGGAAUCGCUAGUAAUCGUAGAUCAGAAUGCUACGGUGAAUACGUUCCCGGGCCUUGUACACACCGCCCGUCACACCAUGGGAGUGUUUUGCAAAAGAAGUAGGUAGCUUAACCUUUGGGAUGGCGCU